CACGUAGGGCGCAAGCGUUGUCCGGAAUUAUUGGGCGUAAAGAGCUCGUAGGCGGUCUGUUACGUCCGCUGUGAAAACCCGGGGCUUAACCCUGGGCUGGCAGUGGAUACGGGUAGACUAGAGGCAGGUAGGGGAGAAUGGAAUUCCCGGUGUAGCGGUGAAAUGCGCAGAUAUCGGGAAGAACACCCGUGGCGAAGGCGGUUCUCUGGGACGGUACUGACGCUGAGACGCGAAAGCGUGGGGAGCGAACAGG
rnacentral:rRNA from 1 species